UGUCAACCUGUUGGGAAAUUAUAGCUGCUCCUCCUGCCAGAUCAGUCAGCUGAGAUGGAAACAUCAAUCUGAGAAGAUGUGCACUUUCUGUCGCAUGAGAAAAAAACAGAGAGGUGACAUGAUUGUCACAGAGGAAUCGUGGAGGACCACAAGGUUUAGAAGAUGGCUCAAUAUUCCAACCUUGCAAUUCUCAGAGAAAGUAAUGAGCUCCUAGAUACAGCCACUGCUCUGAGUUUCAGAUAAAUGAAGAUCCCUUCCUGGCC
rnacentral:lncRNA from 1 species